GGGUCUAUAGCUCAGUUGGUUAGAGCGCACCCUGAUAAGGGUGAGGCCAGUGGUUCGAGUCCACCUAGACCCACCA
rnacentral:tRNA from 1 species